rnacentral:lncRNA from 1 species
AGGCUGUAUGCUCCUUUGCGAACCUGCCGUAUGACCUCAAAGGGCCCUUCCCAGACGGGCCCGAGCUUCCCUGGGGGGUGGCCUGCUGCUUCGGCCCUCCUCAAGACCAAAUCGCCAGCUCUGAACCUCCGAGCCUUGACUUUGCGAUUAAAAUGUUUUGCUGUCUUUGCUUGGUAAGAGGCCACUUUUAUAGCGGCUUGCUCCCGUACUUCUUCCAAGAGAUCAAGAUGUUCAGUUGUAUGCUCCGAGGUUUCUGGCACGAGCCUCCUAUGGCUUGGCAGUCUAAUUUCCACUGGGACCAUUGCUUCAACGCCAUAGGCUAACAUAAAAGUGGUUUCUCCUGUGGUUGUCCUAUGAGUUGUUCUGUACGUCCAAAGUAUAGAAGGCAGCUCGUCGGACCAAGAACCCCUAGCAUCGCUUAUUCUUGUUCGGAGGUCUUGCAAUAUGAUUCGAUUUGUUACCUCGGCCAGACCGUUGCUCUGAGGAUGCGAAACUGAUGUCAGACGGUGAUCAAUUCCAAGGUUUGAGCAAAAGUUUCUAAACUGUUGGUUGUCAAAUUGCCUGCCAUUGUCGGUGAUGAGGACCUUUGGUAUCCCAAACCUGCAAAUGAUAGACCUCCAAGUGAAGGCUCUUAGCUUGGGCUCCGAUAUUGUGGCGAGAGGUUCGGCCUCUACCCAUUUUGUGAAGUACUCUACUGCUACAGCAACAAACUUUAAUUGACCUCUUGCCACAGGAAAGGGGCCGAGGAUGUCAACUCCCCAUUGUUCAAACGGGGCCGAACAGUUAAUGUUGGUGAGGUCNUACUUCUUCCAAGAGAUCAAGAUGUUCAGUUGUAUGCUCCGAGGUUUCUGGCACGAGCCUCCUAUGGCUUGGCAGUCUAAUUUCCACUGGGACCAUUGCUUCAAUGCCAUAGGCUAACAUAAAAGGGGUUUCUCCUGUGGUUGUCCUAUGAGUUGUUCUAUACGUCCAAAGUAUAGAAGGCAGCUCGUCGGACCAAGAACCCCUAGCAUCGCUUAUUCUUGUUCGGAGGUCUUGCAAUAUGAUUCGAUUUGUUACCUCGGCCAGACCGUUGCUCUGAGGAUGCGAAACUAAUGUCAGACGGUGAUCAAUCCCAAGGUUUGAGCAAAAGUUUCUAAACUGUUGAUUGUCAAAUUGCCUGCCAUUG